UGAGUGUUGGCUGUACAAUCAGGAAGACUUCAGUUUGGACCCCAGCACCCAUAGAACAAGCUGAUCCUCUUUUGGCAUCAGAGAUACACACAUCUCCACAACUAUACACACAGGGAAAUGAACACUGAUAGAAUACCCAGGAUCGUCCCACCAUCAGAUCUGUGUUGCCACACACCAUGUGUUCCACCUGUAGACCAGAAGCUGCACUUAUCCCAGGAGAGCCAUGAACAGAGCACAAUGUGUUUGUAGGACAUAGAACUCUCAGCUCCUCCUGUGCCAUGCCUGCCUGGAUGCUGUCAUGCUCCCACCUUGAUGAUAAUGGACCAAAACUCUGAACCUGUGUAAAUACAUGCAACUGCUGGGACUGUGGAGAGAGCUCAGUCAGGAAGUCAAGCAUGCUAACUUGCUUGUAAUCUCAGCCUUGUGGAGAUGGAAACAAGAACACUCUUGGAGCUCACUGUCCACCCAGUUUAUCCUGAUAGGUAGAAGGUACAGAUAGGACUUCCGUGUCCCUGGAGAAGAAAGUACACAGAUGCAAGGCAAGGGAAGGGAAGGGAGGUCACCAUGCUUUGGAGAGAGAAGAACCAGGAACCAUGUGAGGUCUCAGGAGGAUAGGACAUCACCAGAAGACCAAGACACAGAUCACAAUCUGAGAUGAAGCCACCGAGGCUUUCGAGCCUUCACUUAGAGCAUCCUCCAGAGGAUGAAGAUGGAAGAGCAGAAAGAAGUUCCUAUGCUGAGCGAACCAGGAGUAUUAUCACUGAGCCAAGCAAAUUUCCUAGUGACCCCUGAUCCAGAACUCUCGUCAGAAAUCCUCAGUUUAAAAGGCUAGUAAAUGGAUGUUAAAGCCAAAGAACCUACAAGGGGCUCACCAGUGCUGUGAAGCCCAUCUCUUGAUGAG
rnacentral:lncRNA from 1 species